rnacentral:rRNA from 1 species
AUGAUGGCUCCGACUCCGAGCACCGUCAUCCAGGCCAAGCUGGUGCUGCUGGGGGACCUGGGCGCCGGGAAGACCAGCAUCGUCGUCCGGUUCGCCAAGGGGCUCUACUACGAGUGCCAGGAGUCGACCAUCGGGGCGGCCUUCUUCUCGCAGGCGCUGCCCGUGAGCGGCGCCGGCGGCGGCGAGGACGCCACCGUCAGGUUCGACAUCUGGGACACCGCCGGCCAGGAGCGCUACCACAGCCUCGCCCCCAUGUACUACCGCGGCGCCGCCGCCGCCGUCGUCGUCUACGACAUCACUAGCACGGAUUCGUACACCCGAGCAAAGAGGUGGGUCGACGAGCUUCAGAGACAAGGGAACCCACAUCUGGUGAUGGCGUUAGUGGGCAACAAGGUCGAUCUGGAAAAAAAGAGGAAUGUUGGCACACAGGAGGCGCUGGAGUACGCGGAGCGGAACGGCCUCUUCUUCAUGGAGACGUCGGCGAAGACGGCGCAGAACGUCGGCGAGCUCUUCUACGAGCUAGCCGAGAGACUGGUGAAGGUGCGGCCGAACCAUCCAACCGGGAUGGUCCUGCACGAGGGCCAGCCCGGCGUCGGGGGACGGUGGUUCUGCUGCUCCGGGUGA